rnacentral:rRNA from 1 species
AGAGAAUAGAUACCCAGGUAGUCCACGCCGUAAACGAUGUGUGUUUGUCGCCGGGAAGUUCACUUUUCGGUGACGCAGCUAAACGCGUUAAGCACACCGCCUGGGAAGUACGGCCGCAAGGUUAAAACUCAAAGGAAUUGACGGGGACCCGCACAAGCGGUGGAGUAUGUGGUUUAAUUCGUCGCAACGCGAAGAACCUUACCAGGCCUUGACAUGCCCUCUAUGGGCCCCAGAGACGGGGUCCGUUCACUUCGGGUGGGAGGGACGACAGGUGCUGCAUGGCUGUCGUCAGCUCGUGUCGUGGGAUGUUGGGUUAAGUCCCGCAACGAGCGCAACCCCUUUGUUCAGUUGCAACAGGUAAUGCUGGGAACGUCUGACGAUACUGCCGGUGAUAAGCCGGACGGAAGGCGGGGAGUGACGUC